UACGGAGGGGGCUAGCGUUGUUCGGAAUUACUGGGCGUAAAGCGCGCGUAGGCGGCUUUGUAAGUUAGAGGUGAAAGCCCGGGGCUCAACUCCGGAAUUGCCUUUAAGACUGCAUCGCUAGAAUUGUGGAGAGGUAAGUGGAAUUCCGAGUGUAGAGGUGAAAUUCGUAGAUAUUCGGAAGAACACCAGUGGCGAAGGCGGCUUACUGGACACACAUUGACGCUGAGGUGCGAAAGCGUGGGGAGCAAACAGG
rnacentral:rRNA from 1 species